rnacentral:rRNA from 1 species
AGAGUUUGAUCCUGGCUCAGAACGUACGCUGGCGGCACGCCUAACACAUGCAAGUCGAACGCAGUAGCAAUACUGAGUGGCAGACGGGUGAGUAACAUGUGGGAAUCUGCCUUGUGGUUCAGGACAACAUUGGGAAACCGAUGCUAAUACUGGAUAAGCCCUUACGGGGAAAGUUUUAAUGCCAAAAGAUGAGCCCGCAUUUGAUUAGCUAGUUGGUGAGGUAAAAGCUCACCAAGGCGAUAAUCAAUAGCUGAUUUGAGAGGAUGAUCAGCCACACUGGGACUGAGAUACGGCCCAGACUCCUACGGGAGGCAGCAGUGGGGAAUCUUGCACAAUGGGCGAAAGCCUGAUGCAGCGAUGCCGCGUGAGUGAAGAAGGCCUUUGGGUUGUAAAGCUCUUUUGUCGGGAAAGAUAAUGACUGUACCCGAAGAAUAAGGUCCGGCUAACUUCGUGCCAGCAGCCGCGGUAAUACGAAGGGACCUAGCGUAGUUCGGAAUUACUGGGCGUAAAGAGUAUGUAGGCGGCUAGAUAAGUUAAUUGUGAGAGCCCAAAGCUUAACUUUGGAAUUGCAAUUAAAACUAUUUAGCUGGAGUAUGAUAGAGGAAAGCGGAAUUCAUAGUGUAGAGGUGAAAUUCGUAGAUA